rnacentral:rRNA from 1 species
UACGUAGGGUGCGAGCGUUAAUCGGAAUUACUGGGCGUAAAGCGUGCGCAGGCGGUUUUGUAAGCCAGAUGUGAAAGCCCCGGGCUCAACCUGGGAAUGGCAUUUGGGACUGCAAGGCUUGAGUGCGGCAGAGGAGACUGGAAUUCCUGGUGUAGCAGUGAAAUGCGUAGAUAUCAGGAGGAAUACCGGUGGCGAAGGCGGCAUCCUGGACCGGCAUUGACGCUGAGGCGCGAAAGCCAGGGGAGCAAACGGG